ensembl:lncRNA
UUGUCUUCUUUCAAACUCUAUUCAGAGGCCAGGAGAGAUGGGGGAAAGGAAUCUGUUGCCAAGGCUAGUGACCUGAAUUUGCCAUGUGACAGGAUACCGGCAGUCUAGUCCAAUAGCAAGCCACCAUGCUCCACCGAACAGGCAUGAGUCAGCGGAAGAGACAAGAAUCAGCUGGAAUACCAUGAGAAGUCCUUUUGUGCGUUUCUCUCUAGGAAGUGAAGACCAGCAAAGACCACCGAAGGCUGGAAACAUCUCUCUGACAGCUUCCAGAAAAACAUCACGUGACAAACUGAGUUUCCAAAGAAACCAGAAAUUUCCACUUUGUGAAAACCUGUUUAACAAAACAAAACAAGGCCUGUGGCUACAGGAGUUGGUAGAGUUUAUCUUGCCUAGAGCACAAAGUCCUGGGCUUAAUUCCUAGCACUGCAUAAAAACCAAGCUAUGGGACACAUUUGAGGCUAUGGUCUAUGUUUCAAAAACAAAGAAAUCCCUCACACCUGAUACCUGUUGGUGAAUCAUUUCCCCCUCCUCAGGGGGUGCCAGACACUGUUAGUCAUCCCUACAGUGCUACCUCAGCACCUGGUUCAGAGGUUUAGUCCAUUAUCAUCAAGGUGGGAGCAUGGCAGUGUCCAGGAAGGCAUGGUGCUGGAGGAGCUGAGAGUUCUACAUCU